rnacentral:rRNA from 1 species
UUCGAUCAUGGCUCAGAUUCUUACUGGCGGGAUCUUACAUGCAGGUCGGGCGGCAGCACGGACUUCGGUCUGGUGGCGAGUGGCGAACGGGUGAGUAAUGUAUCAGGACGUGCCCGCAAUGGCAGGGGAUAACUACGCAGCCGCGCUAAUACCGCAUACGCCCUUCGAGGAAAGCAGGAGGACCUUCGGGCAUCACGCUAUUAAACAGCCGAUAUCGGAUUAGCUAGUUGGUGGGGUAACGGCUCACCAAAGGCGACGAUCCAUGUGGUUUGAGAAGGACGACCAGCCACACAGGACUGAGACCUGGCCCAGACUCCUACGGGAGGCAGCGAGUGAAGAGUGCUGGACAAAAUGCGGAAACCUGAUCCAGCUACCUCCGCGUGUGCGAUGAAGGCCUUCGGGUUGUAAAAAGCACUUUUGGCAGAAAGAAACAGCGCAGGAUAAUGCCCCGUGCAACUGACGGUACCUGCAGAAUAAGCGCAAUGACUAACACGUGCCCGGCAGCCGCCUGAUAAAAUACGUAGGGUGCAAGCGUUAAUCGGAAUUACUGGGCGUAAAGCGUGCAGGCGGUUCGGAAAGAAAGAUGUGAAAUCCCAGAGCCAACUUUGGAACUGCAUUUUUUAACUUCCGAGCUGAAGUGUGUCAGAGGAGGUGGAAUUCCCACGCGUGUAGCAGUGAAAUGCGUAGAUAUGCGGAGGAACACCGAUGGCGAAGGCAGCCUCCUGGGAUAACGGCGCUCAUGCACGAAAAGCGUGAGGCAAACGGGAUUAGAUACACAGUAGUCCACGCCUAAACGAUGUCAACUAGCUGUUGGGGCCUUCGGGCCUUGGUAGCGCAGCUAACGUGAAGUUGACCGCCUGGGAGGUACGGUCGCAAGAUUGGAAAACUCAAAGAAUUGACGGGGACCCGCACAAGCGGUGGAUGAUGUGGAUUAAUUCGAUACAACGCGAAAAGCCUUCCUACCCUUGACAUGUCUGGAAUCCCGAAGAAGUUUGCGAGUGCUCGCAAGAACCCGGAACACAGGUGCUGCAUGGCUGCUCGUCAGCGCUCGUGUCGUGAGAUGUUGGGUUAAGUCCCGCAGCGAGCGCAACCCUUGUCAUUAAGUUGCUACGGGCUGCUCUAAUGAGACUGCCGAUGAAGCAAGCCGGAGAGGAAGGUGGGGAUGACGUCAAGUCCUCGCGGCCAUAUGGGUAGGGCUACACGUCAUACAAUGGUCGAGACGAAGAUUCGCCAACCCGCGAGAAGGCCAAUCCAGAAAACCCGAUCGUAGUCCGGAUCGCAGUCUGCAACUCGGCCCGUGAAGUCGGAAUCGCUAGUAAUCGCGGAUCAGCAUGUCGCGGUGAAUACGUUCGGGUCUUGUACACACCUUGCAUCCUACAUGCAAAUUAGGUUUUACUGCAGAAGUAGUUAGCCUAACCGUAAGGAGGGCGAUUACCACGACCAGGAUUCAUGGCUGGGGUGAAGUCAUCUUUCAUGGUAG